UUCUUCAUGGGAGAGGUGCUUCAGCCCCCUGAUCAUUUUAGUGGCCUUCCUCUGGACCAGUUCCAAGAGCUCCACAUGGAACUUUAGAACCUUAGUCAGAAUCCUUGAUCUAUGGUUGGAAACAGAAGCAACAUUUGGCAGGGAAAGGUGCCAAGGUAUACUGAAAGAGAGGAGUAACUGAAAAUUGAGGUACAGAGCAAACAGAAGACACUUCCUCUCCAAAGCAGAGCUGCGUGCCCUCUGUGAGACAGCUUUAUCAUUGCUUGAGUCCCACUGUGCAACAAUCAGGUGUGCCUUCCAGGUCUUGCCUCGUUAUUAUUGCAGACCUUAAUGCUUGCUACGAGAUUCAAAUGGUUGUUUUUCACAUUUCACAAACAUUUGAGCUUAACUGUUACUUUUUUUGGUAAUGCUAAUGAUGUACUCUUUUUUUUUCCCUUGCUCUAGUUGUAUCUGCUCUGAAUAAGGCAUGGUGUGUGAACUGUUUUGCUUGUUCAACCUGCAACACUAAGUUAACGCUCAAAGAUAAGUUUGUUGAAAUUGAUCUAAAACCUGUCUGCAAACACUGCUAUGAGAAAAUGCCAGAUGAAUUUAAGCGACGCCUUGCCAAACGGGAACGUGAAGCGAAGGAGAAAGAGAAGCAGAAAAAGAAAAAGCCCAUCUGUUUGUAAACUGUUUUUCUUCUCACCACCACCUGUGCUCCUUUCUUCUUUGAAAUAAAUUUGUGGAGUUUGAUAUGAAGCCUGUCUGCAAAAAGUGCUAUGAGAAGUUUCCUCUAGAGCUGAAGAAAAGACUGAAGAAAUUAGCUGAAACUGUGGGAAGGAAGUGAAGACUUCUUCUGCUCUCCCCUUUCCUUAUGAAAAUGUUGUAUCUGUUACUUGGGAGGGACUCUGAGGCUGUAAUCAGACAACAGAUUACAGUGCGUGCCUUUCAUCUUGAAAUUCUCCAUUCUCUCUGUGAGUACGCGUACAAAUACAGAUUUGUUGAUAAACAGAUCACGCUUCUGUCAACUCACCUGAGAGGUUUCUGACCCUGAUAAUGCACCCAUACAAGAGGGCCAUUGAGCACAGUAAUCUCUGAGGAAUUUUAGAUUGAGAAAAUAUGCUUGUGAGUACCUGCAAAAGCACAUUGUGCAAACAGGCCCAACGUUAUGGGCAUGCAGUGUCAUUUAUACUAAUGAAAAUAUCAGCAUGCAAAUGAAGCAUGCAUACAAAAUUCCCCGUGGCCUGGGCAAGAAACCAAACAGACCUCAUUUCCCGGAAAAAUAAUGCUUAGAUUUCAGGUCCAAUAGUCCCACUGAGGAGCCUUGUUGAAGGUGGUUUGAAAAGUAGCGCAUUUCUAAACACAGUCACUGUACAAAUGACCUGCUUCGAUAGUUUGUACUUACACGCUGAAUCUCUGUACAUCAGCCUUAGCAUGAAAUGUCUGUAUGAAGUCUAAUUCCCACUGCAAGAAACAAGUAUACUCAGAUCUGCUUGAAUUUUGCUGUAUUCCAUUCAGAAUAACACAGUCACUUUUAUAUAAGCUCUUGCCUUUGAUUUACUUUUGGUGCCUUAUUCUGCCGGGCCAUAUGUAACAGUGUUCCAUUCAAUAUAUGUCUGUAGUUUUAUUUUUAUUCCUUAUUUUUGUGCAGAAACUCUGUAUGAGGUAUUUUCAAAAGAUAACAGAAUUUGCCUUAAUUAUCCAGGAUGCAAGAGGAACUUUGCUUCGGGUGUGAACACCUGAGGUUGAAGUUUAGCUUCUAGGCUUCCCUGACUUCUGGAACAGCAAUGAAAAUGCGUAUUUGAGUUAACUGGCAAUAUUACUUUUACACUGUGAGUGUAAAUAUGUGAAGUUUGAUCCUACUGGGAUCUGUUUCUUCAGCCAUCUUCAAGAACUGUGCUCACAAAUCGUCAGAAUUCACUGCAGUGUGCUUGUGCUUGCUUUAUACUAUUGACUUCUGUCCAUGAAAGUUUGCUCUUCCCUUUUCUGUCAAAAAUACCAUUACUUAGGAAUUCUUGAUGGUACUGUUAUCAAGUAUGCAAACUUUUUUUUUUUUUUUUUCAUAUUAGAAACACAAUUUUUAUAUCAUUACUUCAUAGCAAGCAAAAUUUUCUUUCCUGCUUAUGGAAAAACAAAUGCUUUAGAACAUCUUUCCAGUGUCAUCAAUAAAGGCUAAUGUUAUUAAAACCUGUAUCACCUCUUUUAUGUGAGUACUUGAGAUGGGUGGAAAAGCAUCUAGGCAGCCUUCCUUCACUAUGCUUCUACCUGUGGCUAUCUGUGUAAAACUCUUUUACUGUCCUGACUUAGAGGAGACAUCUGCCUGUCCUAGAAACGCACUUUAGUUUUUAGGUUUAAAAAAUAAAUUAUCAUUUGUUUCAUAACCAA